UGGUAAUGCCGGAUGCUCCGGUUGGAUGCAUGUCCUUCCGGGAAAGAUCCAUCGGUAUGGGAUGGGGUCGCGUCCUAUCAGCUUGAUGGCGGGGUAACGGCCCACCAUGGCUUCGACGGGUAGCCGGCCUGAGAGGGCGACCGGCCACAUUGGGACUGAGAUACGGCCCAGACUCCUACGGGAGGCAGCAGUGGGGAAUAUUGCACAAUGGGCGCAAGCCUGAUGCAGCGACGCCGCGUGCGGGAUGGAGGCCUUCGGGUUGUAAACCGCUUUUGAUCGGGAGCAAGCCCUUCGGGGUGAGUGUACCUUUCGAAUAAGCACCGGCUAACUACGUGCCAGCAGCCGCGGUAAUACGUAGGGUGCAAGCGUUAUCCGGAAUUAUUGGGCGUAAAGGGCUCGUAGGCGGUUCGUCGCGUCCGGUGUGAAAGCCCAUCGCUUAACGGUGGGUCUGCGCCGGGUACGGGCGGGCUGGAGUGCGGUAGGGGAGACUGGAAUUCCCGGUGUAACGGUGGAAUGUGUAGAUAU
rnacentral:rRNA from 1 species